rnacentral:SRP_RNA from 9 species
GCCGGGCUUGGCAACGCGAGCCUGUAACCUGAGUAGGGGCAUUAAGGUGGUGGGACGUUACUCUGGCCCAGUAGGCUGGAUUCGGCGUGACUAUGAUCUGGCUCGCCCGUUCCAAGCUAAGAGUUGAUCCAUGUGGCUUGGGCGAAGGCCCGGGCUCCAUGGGUCCUAGAGCGGAGGGCACAGCGUUAGGCUGGUUUCACAGAGCAGCGAUAACCUCCCUCUCUUGGCAGUGGAAGGAUAACGGACCGGUGUUACCCGGAGCCAUAGAAGCCUAAUGGACCGUGUGAACUGGACCAUCAUUUUU